rnacentral:lncRNA from 1 species
CUCUUCCAUAUUGUAAAAUCCCGGAUCGAGCUAAUUCUUCGGAUCUGUAAAAACAGUAAGAAAUCGUAUAAUGAGCUAGACAGCCCAGUAAGUAAUAAACACCUUAACUAGUCAAUUCAUAUAAUAAUAUAAAAUAUAAAUACAAAUUACGAUGAAUCAACAUAAUAACAUAAUCAAUUCCUUUUCAAGCACAAAUUCAUUGAAAUCCGUAUCUUUCAAAUAUCCACAUACAUAAUCAUAAAUCUAAUUUGAAACAAAUCACAUUCAUCUCAUCAGCCUUUAACUACGACCACACUUAUACCCUGUGGCUAGGCCAGAA